ACAUUUUUUUCCUUAAAAAAAGGCCACAUGUAAAUUUGCGAUUAAUCACGAGUUAACUCUGGACAAUGCGAUUAAUCGCGAUUAAAAAAUUUAAUCGCCUGACAGCUCUAUUAAUCAGUAUAGAAAGUUUGGCGACUCUAACAUUAAUAUCUUCAGAGCUAUUAAGCAUUUUAGACCAAAUAUGAUCCAUAUUUUCAUACAAAAAAAAUCAAAAAAAUUUAAAAAUGUAAAUUUCUGCAAUAAUCUUUGAUGUAGCUGACCCUUAAACUCAUCAUUAGUCAGUGCAGAAAGUUUGGUGACUCUAACUUUAAUAUUCCUACAGCUAUUGAGCAUAUUUUUCAUGCUUCAUAUCUAUUAAAAUGGUUAAAAUCAAAAUCUUUAUUGUAGCACAAAUAUGGUGACGAAUCUCAAUCACUAGUUCACACAAAAGUCGAUAUUUAUUUGUUUCUGAGAGGUUAUUGACUUUUACAGAAUGGCCUUUUCUGGAAGCUUCACUUUGUAGACGGUCCCUUAGCAGCCGUCUCGCUUCCGUCUCGCCAUCUGCAGCCCGAAGAGAACACUUUUUAUUAAACGGGUAAAAAAACAAUCUUUUUUCUUUAGAAAUAGUUGUGUAGUUGACUCUCUGUGUUGAGACGAUUGAGAUACUUGCUGUCAUAUUUGAACGUUUUUCUGAAGAGCUAUUGAGCCCAGAAGUGCGAAUCUGUGAAUAUCUUUCUAACUUCACCGAACUAUUUUUGAAUUAUUGACGGUUUGAAAAAAACGCCAAUUUUCUGUUUUACUAUUGCUGGAUUCAAUCGCUUCCUGUUUACGCUGCGCGUUGCCAUGGAAACUGUCUGAUUGUGGAGUGAGAUUUGUUGAAAAGUUUGUUGCUGGCGCCUGCCUGUCUGGAUCCCGUUUCCUGUCCCCAAACGAUGCGGAGUUUGCAGCGCCCUGUCGACCCACGGACUCCGUACUGUGGCAUGGAUGCGACGCUUCGACUCUCGCCACAGGGUCCCGCGUUCCUGCGCGCUUGUCAUGGUGCCUCUGUCAGUCUCCUCCCCCUCUCCACUCUCCUCUCCUCUCCACCCGGCUGCUGAUUAACCCCAGCUGCGACCACUCACCUCAUCACCUCGCCUGCCUUUUUAAGGAGCACCAGGAUCAUCAUUCUUCGCCAGUCCUUUGCCCCUGAUGGAAUCUGUUACCACGAGUGGUCGCUGCUGUCUGCCUCUGCCGGAUCCCCAGUUGGAUCUUCUCUCCACGGUCACACCACGAGCCUCUGCCUUUGCUCCACGGUCCUGCUCCUAAGACGGCUAUGUCCCUCUCCGAGGAACCAAACGGUGACGCCUCCAGCCUCGACCUCCUGCUUGGAGCCCACUUCUUGCCCUGUUCAAGUUACUACCUCCUCGCAUCACUAUUAAAUCCUUUAUCUACCA